GAUGAACGCUGGCGGCGUGCCUAAUACAUGCAAGUCGAGCGAACGGACGAGAAGCUUGCUUCUCUGAUGUUAGCGGCGGACGGGUGAGUAGCACGUGGAUAACCUACCUAUAAGACUGGGAUAAUUUCGGGAAACCGGAGCUAAUACCGGAUAAUAUUUUGAACCGCAUGGUUCAAAAGUGAAAGACGGUCUUGCUGUCACUUAUAGAUGGAUCCGCGCUGCAUUAGCUAGUUGGUAAGGUAACGGCUUACCAAGGCAACGAUGCAUAGCCGACCUGAGAGGGUGAUCGGCCACACUGGAACUGAGACACGGUCCAGACUCCUACGGGAGGCAGCAGUAGGGAAUCUUCCGCAAUGGGCGAAAGCCUGACGGAGCAACGCCGCGUGAGUGAUGAAGGUCUUCGGAUCGUAAAACUCUGUUAUUAGGGAAGAACAUAUGUGUAAGUAACUGUGCACAUCUUGACGGUACCUAAUCAGAAAGCCACGGCUAACUACGUG
rnacentral:rRNA from 1 species